AAGAUGUUCCUGUAGCAAUUAAAUAAGAAAAUGGAAAAGCUGUGGAAGCAAAAGCCAGGUUUCUAACGGCAGCUACAGGCUUUGAAAGAAGCGUAUGCAUUGUAUCAGGAAGAGCCUGUUCGUGUAGUGAUGGAGAAGAACGUACCAUCCAGUUCUGUGGGACAGCAAUACGUAAAGAUACGUCUGACUUUGGUUUUCCCGCUCCAAAAUAGCCUGCUGCUUCACUGGGUGAAGAGCACCUUCGUAAAUACGAAUGCAAACAGUCUGGAGGCCUGGUUUAGAAAGUGUUUCAUGGUCAGUGGAAAAAAAUGAGGAAGAGGAGGGUGUGGCUGCUGCUUAGAGGAUCUGGCCCUGCAAAUGGGCCCUAGCUUGUGGAGAUGUGGUCCUUCAUCGUGACAAAACAAAGACUUCUUCUAGAAACAGUUCCUUCCAGAGCGCGAUGCUCUGAGUUGAGGCCUUGCUGCUGCUGCAUCUGCUUUGGAGUCCCAGAGCCGUCACUCCACCACUGCAGCUGCUGGUAGUGGAGCAAAUUUGAACUUCUGCUGCUGCAUGCUACCUAAUGCCGUGCCUUGUUCAUAGUCUGUAUUUGGGAGUGGGGCAGUUGUCCCUUCAAAUUUGCUAACAUCCUUUCUGUGUAUUCUGUCAUUUUUGUCAAAUGUGGAAUAUGUGUGUAUAGAUCGUGGAAUGCUUAAAUGUAUCUCUGUAGGAAUACAUCUUUCUGGACAAAGGAAAUACAGAAUCACAUGUGUGUGUGACAUUUUGUUUACUAAAACUGAAAAGUAGCAGAAUACUGUUAAUGCUGAAUAUGUACAUUUAGGCAUCCCUUCAAAAUGUAAGAGACUUAAUAAUGCAAUUGUGACAACUUUAGUAAGUAUAACGUGACAGACGGGAAGAAAAAACUCAAAUGAUUCCCAGGAAGACAGUUCAUGGAACACAAAUCCUAUGAAGUAUUGAAUUGAAGAUGGUGUUCUUUUUUCAUAAUUUAUACCUGCAACUGAUAUAAAGAAUGUAGAAGCCUGUAUUAUCUGUCCAGAUAAAUACAUGAAUACUUUCAGUAGGUUCAUUAUUCUCUCGAUGUUGUAUUUUAUAAUAACAAUGUGUCAAUAUCGUUCAUGUUAAGAAAUUUUUUUUUUUUCAAGAAGAGAGAUUUAAAUUUACCAGUGCCAAUGUACUCUGUUACAGUGUAAGAUUCCAGU